rnacentral:rRNA from 1 species
GUGACUGCGUACCUUUUGUAUAAUGGGUCAGCGACUUAUAUUCUGUAGCAAGGUUAACCGCAUAGGGGAGCCGGAGGGAAACCGAGUCUUAAUUGGGCGUUAAGUUGCAGGGUAUAGACCCGAAACCCGGUGAUCUAGCCAUGGGCAGGUUGAAGGUUGGGUAACACUAACUGGAGGACCGAACCGACUAAUGUUGAAAAAUUAGCGGAUGACCUGUGGCUGGGGGUGAAAGGCCAAUCAAACCGGGAGAUAGCUGGUUCUCCCCGAAAGCUAUUUAGGUAGCGCCUCGUGAAUUCAUCUCCGGGGGUAGAGCACUGUUUCGGCUAGGGGGCCAUCCCGGCUUACCAACCCGAUGCAAACUGCGAAUACCGGAGAAUGUUAUCACGGGAGACACACGGCGGGUGCUAACGUCCGUCGUGAAGAGGGAAACAACCCAGACCGCCAGCUAAGGUCCCAAAGUCAUGGUUAAGUGGGAAACGAUGUGGGAAGGCCCAGACAGCCAGGAUGUUGGCUUAGAAGCAGCCAUCAUUUAAAGAAAGCGUAAUAGCUCACUGGUCGAGUCGGCCUGCGCGGAAGAUGUAACGGGGCUAAACCAUGCACCGAAGCUGCGGCAGCGAACGUAUCACUUAAAGCGAUUCAGCGGGUUACGAUUGACGGAGCGAAGCGACGUCAAAGCGUAUACAAAGUCGAGUCGGUUUAAGGAUACGUUCGUUGGGUAGGGGAGCGUUCUGUAAGCCUG